rnacentral:lncRNA from 1 species
UAAAUUUCUCCAAAUCUGUUCUGAUGAAGACACAAACUCAUCUACAACUUGAAUGGGCUGAGCGUGAAUAAAUUGUCAGCAACUUUUUGGGUGAACUACUCCUUUAAAAUGAAAUGUAAAAAAAAAAGAAAAGAAUGAAAACGUGCACAAACUCUAUUUGUGAAAUGUACUAGGAUUUGGAUCGAAUUCAACAGCAAAAAACAGGGACUUCCUUUAGCAACAGCCAGUUCAGACACAACUGGAGAGGAAGAUGCAGUGCUUUAUUCAACCAUCAACGUCAUGCAACCCCCCUCACAACCACCCGGAAACAGUGAAGAAUCAAUGCCAACUGAGGUUGAACUGAAUCAUUUGUAUUACACCAUCCUCACCAAACCGGUCAUCUCCAGUGACAGCAGGAGUGUUUACAGUCAGCU